GUGAUUUGCAAAUUUUCGAUUUUUUCGUUUGGAUAUAUUUCGCUCAAGAAAAGCUAUAUUUCGCUGAAGAAAAGCUAUAUUUCGCUGAAGAAAAGCUAUAUUUCGAUUGGAUAUGUGACUCUAAGUCCUGCUAAAGGCUUAUUGAUCUCAGGUAUGUAUUAUUCUUUAUAUCAUAUAAUUAUAACGUCCAUCGACCCUAUAUUUAUAUUUCAUUUUAUCUUGUGGCUGUACUAGCCUGAACAUGUGGCUGCUAAAAUUUGAAUUUGUGCGCGCGAGAUUGUAUAUAUUGAAAUUGUUUCAUUUCAAUGCCGUCAAAUAAAACCAACAAUUCAAAUUUCGAAUAAGCACAUUAUAUUAAAUACUGGGUUGCACUUGUUUGACAAAACUCGAGAAUUAAGCAUCUUUGAACCCGCACAGUAUAAAUAGAAACAAUAUGUGAAAAUAUGUGAAUAUGAAUAUGAAUUAUAAAUAUGGGUUUGCUACAAUCCUAUUUAAGCCUCUCCCCUGGAUUUCCAAGGUCUUUCAAAUCAUUGAGUGCCAAGCUCUCUCCCCUUGGCAAGUAAAAUCACCUAGGCAUUAACUCUGCCCAGGGUCACUGGCCGGGUUUAAUAGACUGAGUAAAAUUAGUGGUGUUUACACUACAAACCUUGGCCUAGCCUUGGACAGGCACUAUUUUUUUGAGACAGGCUCACUUUGGCCAAGUUGUCCGCUGGUUGUCCGCUAAUCUCUCACUGCGGACACACAUUGCCAUGAAAAUGAGGCCCCACGGCCAGGGCCGAAAGUGUUUACAUUUCCACAAGCCUCUGAGGCUUAGACCAGGUCUGUUACAAGUAGUGAGCCCAGAUUUCCUGGCCUAGGUCAGUACAAGGCUAGGCCAUUUCCACAAGCCUAGGCCAAGGCUGGUAGUGUAAACACGACUAUUGAUUGCAUCAUGGCGCAUUACGACUAGGUGGUUAGUGUUUCCCACAAAUUUAUAUGGUAAAAAAGUAUAAACUUUUGCUAGCUUGAGCUUGAAGGAUUUCAAAGCUAAACCCUUCUAGAGUUUCCCCUGUAUAUAUGCGCCUGUUUAUAUGAUAAUGGCAUGACUGGACAGUAGGUUUUAAUCCACGAUGCUGUGUUUAAUAUAGACAGAAUACACCCCACCUGGCAGGGACGAUAAAGUACUUAGGCGUAAAAAACCCCCCUGUGGUUCCGGUUUCAUAUCAUGAAAAAAUUAGGGUCGGUAGGUCGGAAAUUAAAUUUUUUUUUAAAUAUUUUUUUCGUGGUUUUGGCGGGUUUUUUGCUGGGCGAUUUGCAGUAGAGUCCCAACAUCAAUGUUAACUAGAGAUGCGUGUUUCCUAUGGACGAAUUUAGGAAAUUUGGUUCAAUAAUUAGUGUGACAACAGACGCCAUUUAGGCACACUGUAUGAGCAGCCUGCAACCACCUGGAGAAAAUAGGGUCGCAUGGUCAAUCACAUUGAAAAAAUAAUAGGGUCGGCAGAAAAAAAUAGGGUUGGUCGGGAACCGGAACCACAGGGUUUUUUUUACGCCUUAUAUGAGAGUUUCUCGUCCCCAAGCCAACGGCGCGGAGCGCCGUUCCGGGCGUAAGCCCGGGGCGAGGGUACUAAUUCCCCCCAGCUAUUUACACCCGGGGAAAGGAAAGCACUGGCCAAAUUGCCGCGAUAAAAUCCGAGCCCUGGCUUGUGAUGUUACUCUGAGUGUAUAUCCACACCAGGCAAGCUUGAAAAAUAUGCCUGGCCAUGGUGGGAAUCGAACCUGCAACCUUUGGAAUACUAACUAGCCCAAUGCUCUGCCUACUGACGUACUGAGUUAUGUGGUCAGAUCGGUUCAAAUAUGUGAAAUUUCGGAACAGAAUCUAGUUCCUUCGAUAUCAAUGUAAUCGAAGGAACUAGAAAAAUCAUUACUGAUUAUUAGAUUACAUUGAUAUCGAAGGAACUAGAUUCUGUUCUGAAAUAUCCCAUAUUCGAACCGAUCUGACCGCGUAGCUCAGUUGGCAGAGCAUUGGGCUAGUAUUCCAAAAGUCGCAGGUUCUAUUCCCACCGUGGUCAGGCAUAUUUUUUUAAUUAAUUAAGCUUGCCCGGUGUGGAUAAUUAUACACUCAGAGUAACAUCACAAGCAUCAUAUUCCUUAGUACAUUACACCAACACAGAAAAAUCAUUACUGGCUACAGUAUAUCUACAGGUCCUUAAACAGACUUUGUCAGGCUAUUAUAAUUUACAGGCUUACAGCACUCUUAUGUACUAAACCAGCACUAUCAAAUUUAUUGUUUAUGAAGGAUUUCAGCGAGCUCAAAAAUAGAUCAGAAGGUUAGGCAGAUGGCUGCUGUGCUGUAGUCUGUGGUUCGAACCCGAGUUGGGACAGGUUUUUGUUCACCUUAACUAAACAUGUCUUUUUUUCUGAUUAGUUUUAUUUUUUAUGGGUAGAGGUUAGGAUUAGUUUUGUUUGAAUUUGACUUUAACUAUAAAUACAACCUGUGUGGAGACUAAGAAUGAGAGUGCCAUAAAUAUAGCCUGGCAAAGUUUGUUUACGGGCCUGAAGAUAUACAGUAGCCACUUUGUAAUAAUUAUUUAUAAAAGCAAUUUAAUUAUAAUUAAAUGGAUCAAAUGAUUGGAUAAUUACUGCAGACUUUAUAAAAACAGUCUAAGCUUACAACGGCAUAUUAAUUACAAGAGUAUGCACCAGCAUACUUGAGAGUAAAAUGGUCUGGCAUUAGACAGAGUACAAUAAUCUGGCAUUUAAAAGACAGUAAAAUAAGGAAGUAGGGCACACAAGGGUUAGGGUACAAUACAACUUAAUGGGUUCACUAGACACAUGGCCAUAUUAACCCAACAAAACAGGAAUACCCUGUACUUCUCAAGAAGUUUGGCAGGUCAUUAAGAUGGGGAGUUAACUGGAUAUUAUACUAGGCCGGACAUGGCAUAAGCUGCAUUGUGCCACAACUUUAUUCUUUUACUGUGUCUGAUGGGUCGUUCCAGAAAAGAUCCACUCUCCCCUGGGCACAGAGGAAAUUUCAACCGUCCGGAGGGGAGGCGAGGGGAGAAAAAAUUGUUUCUGAAGUGUAUAAGGACAUUCAAAGGGGAUAGGUGGUUAACUUCCAAUUUCCUUCAUGGGGGAGGUUAGGUAUCGAUGUUCUCUGGAAUGACCCAAUGUCAGAUGAUUUUACUUGUCAGUGAUAUCACUCAGUGGGUUACUGAAACAAGUAGCACUCCUCUCCAAUAUAACUAAGGUUAAAUAAUAUAAUCUUAUGAAUCUAUUCAAUGUUUUCUGGAACGAGCCAAUAGCAUAUUAAAUCACAAAUGCCAACAACCAGUUACCAGUAGCAGAUACCUCGCAAAAUAUUGGGGGUGCUGUUGAGAUGUCUGUUAACAAAUCCUAUCUAGUGCAUAUUUAUCUUGUUAACCCAUUCACUGGCAAUAUGCUCUACUUUAUAUUACUCUGUCUAAUGGCAAGAAAUUUUACAGUUUUACUUGUUGAGAAGAUAGCCUUGCAGCAGUUUCCAAUUUGCCAUGUAUCGCCCACACAGAGAAUACAUUACUGGGGACGAGUCAGGGUAAAAGCCAUAUGAACCAAGGGUUAUCAAUUAUGAUAAUACUAGAAACAACGUCAACCAAAGGUUGGGUUGUGCUACUAACUACAUUUAUUUAGUUUCCGUCUUCCCAUUCGUAAUAAGGUGCAAAGUUUAUAGAUUGGAUAGGAGGAAAUUGCUCAUAUUGCUGCAUGUGAACUGUGAACUUGUGCUAUAUACUGUAAUGUUAACUGACUGUGGAGUUCCAGUACCGGUACAUGAAAUACAUUAUGUACAGCUAAUGAUAGUCUUGUAUUUCCUUUCUUGUAGCUCAUGUGACUAAACGUUUUGCGGGAGCAACAGCCUCAUCAGUGAAAGCUGCCAUGGCCCAAAAGUGCAAAGACAAAAGAAAUGCUGAUACGAAAAGAAGAAAAAUUGCAAAAGACAUUUGAACUGCUAAGUUUUUUUCCUUAUUAUAAAUUAUUUUGUAUGGUAGCUAAACAUUUGUAGAAAUUAACUGUAUAAAUAAAUUAUUUAAACUUCCU